rnacentral:rRNA from 1 species
GAUGAACGCUGGCGGCGUGCCUAAUACAUGCAAGUCGAGCGAACAGACGAGGAGCUUGCUCCUCUGACGUUAGCGGCGGACGGGUGAGUAACACGUGGAUAACCUACCUAUAAGACUGGGAUAACUUCGGGAAACCGGAGCUAAUACCGGAUAAUAUAUUGAACCGCAUGGUUCAAUAGUGAAAGACGGUUUUGCUGUCACUUAUAGAUGGAUCCGCGCCGCAUUAGCUAGUUGGUAAGGUAACGGGUUACCAAGGCAACGAUGCGUAGCCGACCUGAGAGGGUGAUCGGCCACACGGGAACUGAGACACGGUCCAGACUCCUACGGGAGGCAGCAGUAGGGAAUCUUCCGCAAUGGGCGAAAGCCUGACGGAGCAACGCCGCGUGAGUGAUGAAGGUCUUCGGAUCGUAAAACUCUGUUAUUAGGGAAGAACAAAUGUGUAAGUAACUAUGCACGUCUUGACGGUACCUAAUCAGAAAGCCACGGCUAACUACGUG